GGCGAGUGAACAGGGAAAAGCCCAAAUUUGUAAUCUGGCACUUUUUACAAGUGUCCGAGUUGUAAUUUGUAGAGCUGUUAUCCGUACUGGACCAUGUACAAGUCUGUUGAAAAGCAGCAUCAUUGAAGGUGAAAAUCCUGUAGAUGAUAUGGACUACCAGUAUAUUUGUGAUACGGUUUCUAAGAGUCGAGUUGUUUGGGAAUGCAGCUCAAAGUGGGUGGUAAAUUCCAUCUAAGGCUAAAUAUAAGUGAGAGACCGAUAGCAAACAAGUACCGUGAGGGAAAGAUGAAAAGAACUUUGAAAAUAGAGUUAACAGUACGUGAAAUUGCUGAAAGGGAAACGUUUGAAGUUAGUUUUGUAUUCGUUGGAUCAGCUUCGCAAGGAGUGUAUUCUGAUGAUAAGCAAGUCAACAUCAGUCUAUGAGUGUUGGAUAAGGGUUUUGAGAAUGUAGCAAUUUAAUUGUGUUAUAGCUUGAGACUUGGAUACGAUGCUUUGGAUUGAGGAACGCGUAGUAAGCUUUGAGCGGAUUCGAAAGGAUCUCCUUACUAUGGAUGUUGGUGAAAUAACUUU
rnacentral:rRNA from 4 species